rnacentral:sRNA from 1 species
UCCAUUCUUUCCCUCAGAGACCCCAUCUGUGCAACCCCUGCAUGAGACCCCCCCUCAAUCCCGCAUUCAUUCCCUGCGUGAAAGCUUCCGGCCUAUGAGCCGCCAAUCUGGCCCCUGAAGUCGGGCUGGACAAAUUGGGUGUGGGAAGGUGGGUUUCUGGGUGCACACACCACCUCUGGUCUCCCUGCCCCGCCAGGCUCUGGCCCACGUGGAGGCCUAUAUCGAUUUCGGCGAGGAUGACAACCUGGAGGAGGGGGUCCUGGAGCAAGCCGACAUCAAAGUACGGGCACUGGAGGUGGCCCUGGGUGCACAUCUACGAGAUGCCAGGCGCGGGCAGAGGCUCCGCUCAGGGGCGCACGUAGUGGUCACUGGACCCCCCAAUGCGGGCAAGAGCAGCCUAGUGAACCUGCUCAGUCGGAAACCUGUGUCCAUCGUGUCCCCGGAGCCAGGGACCACCCGUGACGUGCUGGAGACCCCAGUCGACCUGGCCGGAUUUCCUGUGCUGCUGAGCGACACGGCUGGGUUGCGGGAGGGCGUGGGGCCCGUGGAGCAGGAGGGCGUGCGGCGCGCCCGGGAGAGGCUGGAGCAGGCUGACCUCAUUCUGGCCAUGCUGGACGCUUCUGACCUGGCCUCUCCCUCCAGUUGCAACUUCCUGGCCACCGUCGUAGCCUCUGUGGGAGCCCAGAGCCCCAGUGACAGCAGCCAGCGCCUCCUCCUGGUGCUGAACAAGUCGGACCUGCUGUCCCCGGAGGGCCCAGGUCCCGGUCCUGACCUGCCCCCGCACCUGCUGCUGUCCUGUCUGACGGGAGAGGGGCUGGACGGCCUCCUGGAGGCGCUGAGGAAGGAGCUAGCUGCAGUGUG